GACGAACGCUGGCGGCGUGCUUAACACAUGCAAGUCGAGCGGUAAGGCCCUUUCGGGGGUACACGAGCGGCGAACGGGUGAGUAACACGUGGGUGACCUGCCCUCAGCUCUGGGAUAAGCCUGGGAAACCGGGUCUAAUACUGGAUAUGACUCCGCGGCGCAUGUUGUGGGGUGGAAAGCCUUGUGCGGCUGGAGAUGGGCCCGCGGCCUAUCAGCUUGUUGGUGGGGUGAUGGCCACCAAGGCGACGACGGGUAGCCGGCCUGAGAGGGCGACCGGCCACACUGGGACUGAGACACGGCCCAGACUCCUACGGGAGGCAGCAGUGGGGAAUCUUGCGCAAUGGGCGAAAGCCUGACGCAGCGACGCCGCGUGAGGGAUGACGGCCUCGG
rnacentral:rRNA from 1 species